rnacentral:tRNA from 1 species
GCCUCGGUAGCUCAGUUGGUAGAGCAGUUGACUCUUAAUCAAUUGGUCGUGGGUUCGAAUCCCCCCCGGGGCACCA